GAUGAACGAUAGCUACAGGCUUAACACAUGCAAGUCGAGGGGUAACGAGAGGAAAGCUUGCUUUCCUUGUCGACGACCGGCGCACGGGUGAGUAACGCGUAUCCAACCUGCCCCCAACUAGGGAAUAACCUUGCGAAAGUAAGACUAAUACCCUAUAAUUUCCUCAGAUGUCAUCUGGCGAGGAAUAAAGAUUUAUCGGUUGUGGAUGGGGAUGCGUCUGAUUAGCUUGUUGGCGGGGUAACGGCCCACCAAGGCAACGAUCAGUAGGGGUUCUGAGAGGAAGGUCCCCCACAUUGGAACUGAGACACGGUCCAAACUCCUACGGGAGGCAGCAGUGAGGAAUAUUGGUCAAUGGGCGGAAGCCUGAACCAGCCAAGUAGCGUGCAGGAUGACGGCCCUAUGGGUUGUAAACUGCUUUUAUACAGGAAUAAAGUUAGCCACGUGUGGUUAUUUGUAGGUACUGUAUGAAUAAGGACCGGCUAAUUCCGUGCCAGCAGCCGCAGUAA
rnacentral:rRNA from 1 species